GACGAACCGUCCGACCGUUAUUCGGAAUCACUGGGCUUAAAGCGUGUGUAGGCGGAUGCCUAAGUACCUUGUGAAAUCCCACGGCUCAACCGUGGAACUGCUGGGUAUACUGGGCGUCUUGGGCCAUUCAGGGGCGACUGGAACAAGCGGUGGAGCGGUGAAAUGCGUAGAUAUCGCUUGGAACGCCGAAGGUGAAAACAGGUCGCUGGGGAUGUGCCGACGCUGAGACACGAAAGCCAGGGGAGCAAACGGG
rnacentral:rRNA from 1 species